CGUUUCUUUCUGUUCCGUCAUUCUUGCCAGCUUUCUGAAAAGACUUCGACAUGUCGACGAAAAUGUAUUUUAUUAUUUUACUGAUGUUCGGAUUUUUCGUGAUAUCGAGCAGUGGAAUUAGUGUCUGUAUCUCAACGCUUUGUAUUAGCUCUCGACAAGGAAAAAGGAUUCGAGGUUUGAAGCAUUCUAAGCAAUCUCGCAACACAGAAGAGGUACCAAAGAUGCAAUCUAACGACAUGUUACCACGAGGCCUAGUAAGUUAAACCAAAA